AGAGUUUGAUCCUGGCUCAGAGUGAACGCUGGCGGCGUGCUUAACACAUGCAAGUCGAACGGUAACAGCAGUACUUGUACUGGCUGACGAGUGGCGCACGGGUGAGUAAUGUAUAGUUAAUCUGCCCCUUAGAGAGGGAUAGCCACUGGAAACGGUGAUUAAUACCUCAUACUCCUAUAUGUGUAAGAUAUAUAGGGAAAUGUUAUUUCGCUAAGGGAUGAGACUAUAUGGCAUCAGGUAGUUGGUAGGGUAAUGGCCUACCAAGCCAAUGACGCCUAGCUGGUCUGAGAGGAUGAUCAGCCACACUGGUACUGAGACACGGACCAGACUCCUACGGGAGGCAGCAGUGGGGAAUAUUGCACAAUGGAGGAAACUCUGAUGCAGCAACGCCGCGUGGAGGAUGACGCAUUUCGGUGUGUAAACUCCUUUUAUAUAGGAAGAUAAGGANG
rnacentral:rRNA from 1 species